rnacentral:rRNA from 1 species
CCUACGGGUGGCAGCAGUGAGGAAUAUUGGUCAAUGGACGAGAGUCUGAACCAGCCAAGUAUCGUGAAGGAUGACUGCCCUAUGGGUUGUAAACUUCUUUUAUAUGGGAAUAAAAUGUUCCACGUGUGGGAUUUUGUAUGUACCAUAUGAAUAAGGAUCGGCUAACUCCGUGCCAGCAGCCGCGGUAAUACGGAGGAUCCGAGCGUUAUCCGGAUUUAUUGGGUUUAAAGGGAGCGUAGGUGGAUUGUUAAGUCAGUUGUGAAAGUUUGCGGCUCAACCGUAAAAUUGCAGUUGAAACUGGCAGUCUUGAGUACAGUAGAGGUGGGCGGAAUUCGUGGUGUAGCGGUGAAAUGCUUAGAUAUCACGAAGAACUCCGAUUGCGAAGGCAGUUCACUGGACUGCAACUGACACUGAGGCUCGAAAGUGUGGGUAUCAAACAGGAUUAGAUACCCCUGUAAUC